GGUAUAUUCUCUUUAAGUAUUUGGUGUGAUAUUCUCUUUAAGUAUUUUAUCCAUUUCUAUUGUCCUGUAUAUCCAGUAAGUUUUGUUUUUCCAGUUGGUAUAAUUAGUUUAGUUUAUAGUUUAAACAUGUUAUUUUAACAUGGUGAGUAGUAUUCUGUUACUUAGAUACUGUCCUAACAGCAUGUUUCACCUUUAGUCACUUUUUCUUAGAUCUCCAUCUUGAAGGCAACAAUUUCUUUCUACAGCACUGCAUUUACUAAUUCGGUGUUUCUCUCUUUUGUACCUGUAUAUGGUUUUCUUAUACAUUAUUAGUUCUAAUUCUUCAUUUCUUAAGAGCACCUUUAUCAGGUGCUCUCCUUCUUGUCUUCUACUUGUUCUUCUUUCUGUAAAUAAUUGGCUGUUUGGUUCCUGUGUAUUGUAAAUAAACUGUAUAGCUGUGUUCCUGUCCUUGUCUCUUUUCGUUCAACCCGCGACCUGGAAAGGGGAUAGUCCGUUGUCCAUCGAUCCUGCUACAUACGCAAAAGUAGAGUUAAAAAGUGCUAUUUUUGUUGGAAAUGAAAUGAAAUUGGGUUUAACUUCCUACUAUUUUGCUCCUAUACUGGGCUAAUGAAGACGGGCAUAUGCCACACAGUGUGCUAUGAGGGAAAUUUUGCCCGGGCAUCGGCACUAUCGCCUACUCUUAUAUCGAAUUCCAACUGCCAAGGGAUCUUUUACGUGCAUUCCAAUGUAUACACAGGACCUCGGUUUUUCGUCUCAUCCGAAGGACUAUUAUUUUUGUUGGAGCAGUAUAGAUAGAAUAUCAACAGUAUGCAUGUUUUUAUUUAUAAUUUUGUUAUCAGGAAGAAUAUAAUCGAAUACAAUUUGCUGCCUGUUUCAGAACAGUUAAAGGGACCUUUACUAUUUUCUGUUUGAGACUUCACGAAGUUGAAUUUGCUAAUGUCCCAUGCUUCUUUACCACGGACUGGAGAAAACAAGUUAAUGACACCUUUGGUAUUGGUAUGAGGUUUUUUUCAACGUCUCCAUCCCCAACCCGCUGAGAAAUCUCAGAAAGCCUUCAACAUUAUUGAGAAAUUGUUUCAAUAGCGUCUAGUAACUAAAUGAAAUACACGGGUAACAAUUCUAUUCAAUACAUUUAUUGCUUUUUACUGAGCGAGGCUUCGAUAGGUUGACUACUCUAGUCUUUAUUAAACAAUAAACACGCGCGGGCGUGCUGUUAUAUUUUCUCAAAACUAAAUUAUUGAUCACCCAUUAGUAAAGUACACGUGUCUGCUACUGAUGUAUGAAUUUAUUAACAAAGGCAUUGUUCUUUGAUUAUACAAUGAAAUGAAAUGGGGUUUAACGUCCUACUGUUCUGCUCCUAAACUGGGCUAAUGAAGACGGGCAUACGCCAUACAGUGUGCUAUGGGGGAAAUUUUGCCCGGGCAGCGGCGCUACGGCCUACUCUUAUAUCGAAUUCCAACUGCCAAGGGUAAGACGCUGGCUCGCUAGCCUGGAGGUCGGGUGUUCGAUCCCUGCAUUGACCGAGAAAGUUCAUCCAGAUUUUCUGGCGUGGUUCCCCCUUGUCAGUGAUGCAGGACGGAGGGCCUGACACGGACAGCUGUCUAGUCCUUCGGAUGAGACAAAAUUCGAUAUAAGAGUAGGCGAUAGUGCCGCUGCCCGGGCAAAAUUUCCCUCAUAGCACACUGUAUGGCGUAUGCCCGUCUUCAUUAGCCCAGCAUAGGAGCAGAACAGUAGGACGUUAAACCCCAUUUCAUUGUCAUUAUGUCACAUUACGUUUGACGUUUUAAGUUAACUUUGGCCUUAGAGGUAUUUUGACCUUAUCAUUACCGGUAUUAGGACUUUUGACAUUGUACUUUUAAGACAUAAUCAAUGUAAAGGAAAUUUUAGCAGAACAUUUAAUAUUGGCAGCGACACCCAUCCAUCAAUAUUCAGUUAACACGUGACGCAUAUAUUAUAUGCCAUUUUUAAAUCAGUUUAUACGAAACAUAAUGGAUUUGUACACAUGUGUCAACUUUUAUACCAA